UACGUAGGUGGCAAGCGUUGUUCGGAAUUAUUGGGCGUAAAGGGCGCGUAGGCGGUUUGUUAAGUCAGCUGUGAAAGCCCGGGGCUCAACCCCGGAGGGUCAGUUGAUACUGGCAGACUAGAGUACAGAAGAGGUAACUGGAAUUCCCGGUGUAGCGGUGAAAUGCGUAGAUAUCAGGAGGAAUACCGAUGGCGAAGGCAGGUCUCUGGGCUGACACUGACGCUCAUGCACGAAAGCGUGGGGAGCAAACAGG
rnacentral:rRNA from 1 species